rnacentral:rRNA from 1 species
AGAGAGUGCAAACGUUGUUUGGAAUUACUGGGCUUGAAGCGCACGUAGGCGGCGUUGUAAGUGUCGGGUGAAAUCCCACGGCUCACCCGUGGAACUGCCCGGCAUACUGCGAUGCUAGAGUGUGGUAGGGGAGAGCGGAACUCCUGGUGGAGCGGUGAAAUGCGUAGAUAUCAGGAGGAACACCGGUGGCGAAGGCGGCUCUCUGGUCCACAACUGACGCUGAGGUGCGAAAGCUAGGGGAGCAAACGGGAUUAGAUACCCCGGUAGUCCUAGCUGUAAACGAUGGGCACUAGCUUGGGGUCUCCCUGUGUGAUCCCAGGUGAAGCAAAAGUGAUAAGUGCCCCGCCUGGGGAGUAUGGUCGCAAGGCUG